rnacentral:rRNA from 1 species
GAUGAACGCUAGCUACAGGCUUAACACAUGCAAGUCGAGGGGAAACGGCAUUAAGUGCUUGCACUUUUUGGACGUCGACCGGCGCACGGGUGAGUAACGCGUAUCCAACCUUCCCAUGACUAAGGGAUAACCUGCCGAAAGGCAGACUAAUACCUUAUGGUCUUCACUGACGGCAUCAGAUGUGAAGUAAAGAUUUAUCGGUUAUGGAUGGGGAUGCGUCUGAUUAGCUUGUUGGCGGGGUAACGGCCCACCAAGGCAACGAUCAGUAGGGGUUCUGAGAGGAAGGUCCCCCACAUUGGAACUGAGACAAGGUCCAAACUCCUACGGGAGGCAGCAGUGAGGAAUAUUGGUCAAUGGGCGAGAGCAUGAACCAGCCAAGUAGCGUGCAGGAUGACGGCCCUAUGGGUUGUAAACUGCUUUUGUAUGGGGAUAAAGUCAAUCACGUGUGAUUGUUUGCAGGUACCAUACGAAUAAGGACCGGCUAAUUCCGUG